rnacentral:pre_miRNA from 1 species
UUCCGAAUUACUUGUCUUGAAUUUCUCUAGAUACAGAUUUAUCUAGACUUAUUUUAGUGCUAGAUACAUCCGUGUCUAGACAAAUCCAAGACAAGUAAUUCGGAA